rnacentral:pre_miRNA from 1 species
GUGAUACUCCCUCCGUUCGGAAUUACUUGUCUCGGAAAUGGAUGUAUCUAGAACUAAAAUACAUCUGAAUACAUUUAUUUUUGUGACAAGUAAUUCCGAACGGAGGGAGUACAUU